GACCCGGCAUCGGGUAGAGGGAAAAGGAGCAAUCCGCUUUGAGAUGGCCUCGCGUCCGAUUAGCUAGUUGGUGAGGUAACGGCCCACCAAGGCGACGAUCGGUAGCCGGACUGAGAGGUUGAACGGCCACAUUGGGACUGAGACACGGCCCAGACUCCUACGGGAGGCAGCAGUGGGGAAUAUUGCACAAUGGGGGAAACCCUGAUGCAGCGACGCCGCGUGGAGGAAGAAGGUCUUCGGAUUGUAAACUCCUGUUGUUGAGGAAGAUAAUGACGGUACUCAACAAGGAAGUGACGGCUAACUACGUGCCAGCAGCCGCGGUAAAACGUAGGUCACAAGCGUUGUCCGGAAUUACUGGGUGUAAAGGGAGCGCAGGCGGGAAGACAAGUUGGAAGUGAAAUCCAUGGGCUCAACCCAUGAACUGCUUUCAAAACUGUUUUUCUUGAGUAGUGCAGAGGUAGGCGGAAUUCCCGGUGUAGCGGUGGAAUGCGUAGAUAUCGGGAGGAACACCAGUGGCGAAGGCGGCCUACUGGGCACCAACUGACGCUGAGGCUCGAAAGUGUGGGUAGCAAACAGGAUUAGAUACCCUGGUAGUCCACACCGUAAACGAUGAUUACUAGGUGUUGGAGGAUUGACCCCUUCAGUGCCGCAGUUAACACAAUAAGUAAUCCACCUGGGGAGUACGACCGCAAGGUUGAAACUCAAAGGAAUUGACGGGGGCCCGCACAAGCAGUGGAGUAUGUGGUUUAAUUCGAAGCAACGCGAAGAACCUUACCAGGUCUUGACAUCCUACUAACGAGAUAGAGAUAUGUUAGGUGCCCUUCGGGGAAAGUAGAGACAGGUGGUGCAUGGUUGUCGUCAGCUCGUGUCGUGAGAUGUUGGGUUAAGUCCCGCAACGAGCGCAACCCUUAUCUUUAGUAGCCAGCAGUAAGAUGGGCACUCUAGAGAGACUGCCGGGGAUAACCCGGAGGAAGGUGGGGAUGACGUCAAAUCAUCAUGCCCCUUAUGACCAGGGCUACACACGUGCUACAAUGGCGUAAACAAAGAGAAGCGAAGUCGUGAGGCAGAGCGAAUCUCAAAAAUAACGUCUCAGUUCGGAUUGUAGUCUGCAACUCGACUACAUGAAGCUGGAAUCGCUAGUAAUCGCAGAUCAGAAUGCUGCGGUGAAUACGUUCCCGGGUCUUGUACACACCGCCCGUCACACCAUGGGAGUCGGAAAUGCCCGAAGUCGGUGACCUAACCGAAAGGAAGGAGCC
rnacentral:rRNA from 1 species